AUUGUAUCGAUUUCAAUCUUUUUUGUUUGAAGUCGGAUGUGGAUGUUGUUGCGGUAUUGCGACUCAUCCUAAAUGCAUUAGCGGUCUGUCUCGAUCACGCACAAUGUGAUAAAAAGAAGCAUUGUUGAGAUCAAGUCAAGGUUGCUUCCAACCGUCGAAAGACAACAGCAUAUAAUGUC
rnacentral:misc_RNA from 1 species